rnacentral:lncRNA from 10 species
AUGUCAAAAUCUCACAGGACACAAUUCACCUCUCUCCCAGGCCUUUUGAAUCCCACAUGAAGAGGAGGUUGGGUGAGCAGAACAGCACCGAGUCUCUAAAUCAGCUGCAGCAAUGGGUCAGCUUAUACUCACCCUCUGGCCCAGAUGGCAAGUGCUGCCAUAGUUCUACCCAGAGCUGCUGAAGAAUGCACAGGAAAAAGCAGGAAGUCUUCAACCUGGAAACAGGGUCAAAAGGAUCAUAGGACAGAAUACAGGGCUUGAUCAGUAUGAGCGAUGGCUAUGAUUAAUCUGAUUUCUUCACUGACUGAUUUGGACUUGAGGCAUAUCAUAAGCUUAUUCCUGCUUCUCUGACCACAAAGUAUGGAGGAUAUUACAAUAAGUUGAGAACCCUGCAGUUAUGACAAACACCAGAAUCUGAUGAUGACUGGGGCUUUAAGGAAUCAAGAGGUUUGAGAAAUUUCAGAAAGAAAUAGGCCCAGGAAAAAUGGGGACAAGGAACAGAAGCCUGUGGGAAUUGGGAGCACCUCCCACCCGUUGCUCUUAACCUUCCGCUCUGCUUCUGACAGUAACUUGCUUCAGGCGGCCACUGCCAUGGUCUCUCUGACAGAUUUGGACUUGAAGCAGCUGCUCAGUGAGUCUCCAGAAGGAAGAGCCUUCUGUGAUAUGGAUGAUGAAAGAGAUUCCCUUAGGGUGGGAUUGGCCUAGGAAUUCGGAGUUCUCUUCCCUCCCAGAAGGCCUACCAGUGCCCCUGAAGAAGGUCAUUAAGGAGGCGGUUCAGGCUGCCAGAGCUGCUGAGAGAGAGCAAAGGGAAGUCCUUCACCCAGGAUACAGGUGGCAUCCUAUUGGACAAGGAGAUGCAGAUAUGGAAGCUGAGUAGCCAGAUUUGCUGUGAGGUGCAUGGCCAGCCAGAUAUCUCGCUCCAUGCCUGCCCUGCAGCGAGGACACCCUGGUCAAACUUGCUCAAUACCUUCAUCUCUAUGAACUGUCGAGUGCAUCUGAAGGAGCCUCUAGAGAAACUCGAAGAAGCCACUGGCAGGGCAAUGCCAGAGCAGAUGGCCACGCACCAGGAUGAAUGCCAGGCAUAGACACAUGCAAAGAUUGCAAAGAUGCUGGAAGAGGAGAAGGACAAGGAAUAGAGAGAACAGGUUUUUUGUUUGUUUGUUUGUUCCUGGUAAGGAAGAAGAAAUGAAGAGCAGGGCCUGGAAGAAAUUCCAGUGGAGUGAUGAAAUCAAGGAGGUGCUCUGGCUGGGAGUGAAGAUGAACCUGGAGGGCUUGAUCCAGAAGGAAACAAGACCGGUGUGGAGAGGACUGCAAGAAAGCUUGCCUGGAUGACAGAAUGCAAACUGUCUGACCUCAAAGCUUGGUGCAGCCCAGGUUUCUGUGUAAGGAUAGCAGACCACAGCAUAAGUCCUUGACAUCAAUACUGAACAAGAAGAAAGUAAUGGCACAUUCUAAAGUCAAGGUGAAGAAAUCAUAGACUGAGAUUGCUAAAAAGGUCCUCAUGCCUUCAGCCCACAUUGCCAGCCUCAUUGUUUGGCCUUCAGAACAUCAGGGAGGUCUGCACACUGG